rnacentral:tRNA from 1 species
UAGCUUAGAUGGUAAAGAAUCUGCCUGCAAUGCAGGAGUCCCAGGUUCGAUCCCUGG